rnacentral:rRNA from 1 species
UACGUAGGGUGCAAGCGUUAAUCGGAAUUACUGGGCGUAAAGCGUGCGCAGGCGGUUUUGUAAGUCUGUCGUGAAAUCCCCGGGCUCAACCUGGGGAAUUGCGAUGGAGACUGCAAGGCUAGAAUCUGGCAGAGGGGGGGUAGAAUUCCACGUGUAGCAGUGAAAUGCGUAGAGAUGUGGAGGAACACCGAUGGCGAAGGCAGCCCCCCUGGGUCAAGAUUGACGCUCAUGCACGAAAG